rnacentral:lncRNA from 1 species
UUGGGUUAGGGUGUGGAUUCAAAAAAAGGAAAACAAGGGGCUUUUAGUUCAGAGUCGAUGUUACAUCCUGUGUUUGUUUCUUUUAUUUCCUCGGUUUUCUUUUCUUGAAUUUUUACCGACUACCCUUUUUCGUGCUUUUUCUUUUGAAUCAUCGAUUAUUUGAUUUUUUUUUCUUUUUUUUUUUCGAUUCAUCAAUUUUUCUUUUUCUUUUGUUUUUGCACUUUCUAGGGCUUUGAGAGCUUUUGGGGUUUUUACCCCAAACUUAGCUUUUCAACACAGUUGGAAUGUAUUCUCAUGACUCUGAACAGGGUGAGGAAGUGUUUUGGCCAAUGGUUACAUUCAUGGUGUUUUGAACAAAAAAAUGGAUAUAGGCUCGAAGGGGGUUAACGAGGGAUAUAAUAAUUCGGGAUGGCUAGAAAGGCUCGGGGUUAAUUACAAACAACGUGCCUCAGUGUGUGUAUCAUGGAGUGACAAUCCUAGAGAGUCUAUGCAAAUUCAGAGUGAUAAAGACAAACCUGAAUGACGCUCAUGAUGAUUAAUGUGUUUGGCCU